rnacentral:rRNA from 1 species
UACGGGGGGGGGGCAAGCGUUGUUCGGAAUUACUGGGCGUAAAGGGCCAGUAGGCGGCCAACUAAGUCGGAUGUGAAAUCCCCAGGCUUAACCUGGGAACUGCAUCCGAUACUGGAUGGCUUGAAUUCGGGGAGAGGGAUGCAGAAUUCCAGGUGUAGCGGUGAAAUGCGUAGAUAUCUGGAGGAAUACCGGUGGCGAAGGCGGCAUCCUGGACCGGUACUGACGCUGAGGAGUCGAAAGCAUGGGGAGCGAACAGGG